GCGGCAAGAGCUCAAAUUUGAAAUCUGGCUCCUUCGGGGCCCGAGUUGUAAUUUGUAGAGGAUGCUUCGGGCGUGGCCGCGGUCUAAGUCCCCUGGAACGGGGCGUCGCAGAGGGUGAGAAUCCCGUCUUCGGCCGGCCGGCCCCGCCCGUGUGAAGCUCCUUCGACGAGUCGAGUUGUUUGGGAAUGCAGCUCUAAAUGGGUGGUAAAUUUCAUCUAAAGCUAAAUACUGGUCGGAGACCGAUAGCGCACAAGUAGAGUGAUCGAAAGAUGAAAAGCACUUUGAAAAGAGAGUUAAACAGCAUGUGAAAUUGUUGAAAGGGAAGCGCUUGCGACCAGAGUCGGCCGCGGGGGCUCAGCGGGCACUCGUUGCCCGUGCACUCCCCCGUGGUCGGGCCAGCGUCGGUUUCGACGGCCGGUCAAAGGCCCCCGGAAUGUGUCGCCUCUCGGGGCGUCUUAUAGCCGGGGGUGCAAUGCGGCCAGUCGGGACCGAGGAACGCGCUCCGGCACGGACGCUGGCUUAAUGGUCGUAAGCGACCCGUCUUGAAACACGGACCAAGGAGUCUAACAUCCACGCGAGUGUUCGGGUGUCAAACCCGUCCGCGCAGUGAAAGCGAAUCGGAGGUGGGAACCACUCAAGGGUGCAUCCAUCGACCGAUCCUGAAGUCUUCGGAUGGAUUUGAGUAAGAGGAGAGGCUGUGGGACCCGAAAGAUG
rnacentral:rRNA from 1 species